rnacentral:rRNA from 1 species
CCUACGGGUGGCAGCAGUGAGGAAUAUUGGUCAAUGGUCGGGAGACUGAACCAGCCAAGUAGCGUGAGGGAUGAAGGCACUGAGUGUUGUAAACUUCUUUUGUCAGGGAAUAAAGUGUGGGACGCGUCCCUAGUUGUGUGUACUUUAUGAAUAAGGAUCGGCUAACUCCGUGCCAGCAGCCGCGGUAAUUCGGAGGAUCCGAGCGUUAUCCGGAUUUAUUGGGGUUAAAGGGAGCGUAGAUGGGUGGUUAAGUCAGUUGUGAAAGUUUGGGGCUCAACCGUAGAAUUGCAGUUGAAACUGGCAGUCUUGAGUAGAGGUGAGGUAUGCGGAAUGCGUGGUGUAGCGGUGAAAUGCAUAGAUAUCACGAAGAACGCCGAUUGCGAAGGCAGCAUACUA